UGGGGAAUAUUGCACAAUGGGGGAAACCCUGAUGCAGCGACGCCGCGUGAACGAAGAAGGUAUUCGUAUCGUAAAGUUCUGUCCUAUGGGAAGAUAAUGACAGUACCAUAGAAGAAAGCUCCGGCUAAAUACGUGCCAGCAGCCGCGGUAAUACGUAUGGAGCGAGCGUUGUCCGGAAUUAUUGGGCGUAAAGGGUACGCAGGCGGUUUAAUAAGUCGAAUGUUAAAGAUCGGGGCUCAACCCCGUAAAGCAUUGGAAACUGAUAAACUUGAGUAGUGGAGAGGAAAGUGGAAUUCCUAGUGUAGUGGUGAAAUACGUAGAUAUUAGGAGGAAUACCAGUAGCGAAGGCGACUUUCUGGUCUGUAACUGACGCUGAUGUGCGCAAGCGUGGGGAUCAAACAGG
rnacentral:rRNA from 1 species